rnacentral:rRNA from 1 species
UACGGAGGAUGCGAGCGUUAUCCGGAUUUAUUGGGUUUACAGGGUGCGUAGGCGGGCUGUUAAGUCAGCGGUAAAAUACGGGGGCUCAACCUCCGCCCGCCGUUGAAACUGACGGUCUUGAGUGAGUGAGAAGUAAGCGGAAUGCGUGGUGUAGCGGUGAAAUGCAUAGAUAUCACGCAGAACUCCGAUUGCGAAGGCAGCAUACCGGCGCCCGACUGACGCUGAGGCACGAAAGCGUGGGGAUCGAACAGG